rnacentral:rRNA from 1 species
GGGAAUAUUGCACAAUGGGGGAAACCCUGAUGCAGCCAUGCCGCGUGUGUGAAGAAGGCCUUCGGGUUGUAAAGCACUUUCAGUAGGGAGGAAAGGGUGUAACUUAAUACGUUAUAUCUGUGACGUUACCUACAGAAGAAGGACCGGCUAACUCCGUGCCAUCAGCCGCGGUAAUACGGAGGGUCCGAGCGUUAAUCGGAAUUACUGGGCGUAAAGCGUGCGCAAGCGGUUUGUUAAGCGAGAUGUGAAAGCCCUGGGCUCAACCUAUGAAUAGCAUUUCGAACUGGCGAACUAGAGUCUUGUAGAGGGGGGUAGAAUUCCACGUGUAUUGGUGAAAUGCGUAGAGAUCUGGAGGAAUACCGGUGGCGAAGGCGGCCCCCUGGACAAAGACUGACGCUCAUGCACG